rnacentral:rRNA from 1 species
CAAUGCUCAUGUCAAUGAUGCUUGGUGGCAUGCACCUUGUUAGUUGUAGCAUGACAGCUUGAUACUUAUCUAAACGCUUUCAUCAACUGUCUUCUGACAGCAAUGAAUGCAUCAAUUCAAAACAAUAUGAAGAGUGCAGCCAAAUGCAGUAAUCAUUGCAAAUUGCAGAAUUCCGUGAGUCAUUUUUCUUGAAUGUAGGCAUGUUCUUGGGCCACCCCUAAAGGACAUCAUUUACUCAGUGCAUCUUUGUUAAUGGUGUGCUCCACAUCAUGCAUUAUGUGUGUGUGUGAUGUGGUAUACUCUUCUUUGCAGUUAUGCAAUACACAUUCGUUUUGUCCAACAUCUGAAUGAAUGGCUUAAACCUGCUGAAUUUAAGCAUAUUAGUAAGCAGAGGAACCCCAUCAAACUUGGAUUUUGUAAGUAGUUGCGAAUGAACACAAAUUUGAUCACUUUGGCAAUCUGUACACAUUGCUGUGUAACAAUUUGUAUACGUUGGCACAGUGCUAUCAAAGCUGCAUGCAAGUGUUUUUUGAAAGGAUACAACAUGGGAUGUGAUAUUCAUGUGUGUGUGCCUGCUUUGUCCACAGCCUGUGCUGUAUGAAUCACAUUUCUUGCAACCGAAAUGCGAAUGGCAUGGUAAAGUUCAUGUGACAUGACACAAGCUUGAGAUUCAUGAUGUGCAAGUACCAUGAGGGAAAUGUGAAAAGGACUUUGGAAAGAGAAUUAAAUAAAGCCUGCAUUUGCUGACAAUGAAAGCAAGUGUGGAUGUUCAUGUAAUUGUUACUGCAUCAAUCAAUGUUCAUCUUGGUUACUGCAUGCUUUAUAUUACAGCUCAGAACAUGAAGUGUGUGUAACAGCUCUGCUUUGAUUUUUCCCACAUGGGAUCAGUUGAAACAUUGUGAGAGCACUCUUCAGUUUCCUUAUGUACCCACCAGCUUUGUCCACUCGCGUGUUGGCACACAUGUAAUGAUGAUGUGUUUAUGCAAGAUACUUCUGUGCUCAACAACAUGUUGUGUCAAUCCUCACUUGACCCGUCUUGAAACACGGACCAAGG